GGAUUGUGGCUCAUCGGUAGAGUGCUUGCCUAGCACACACGAGGCCCUGGGUUCGAUCCUCAGCACCA
rnacentral:tRNA from 1 species